rnacentral:rRNA from 1 species
AUUGAACGCUGGCGGCAGGCCUAACACAUGCAAGUCGAACGAGUGGCGGACGGGUGAGUAAUGUCUGGGAAACUGCCUGAUGGUGGGGGAUAACUACUGGAAACGGUAGCUAAUACCGCAUACCCUCAGAUGUGCCCAGAUGGGAUUAGCUAGUUUGUUGGGUAAAGGAGCACCAAGGCGACGAUCCCUAGCUGGUCUGAGAGGAUGACCAGCCACACGGGAAAGGAGACGCGGUCCAGACUCCUACGGGAGGCAGCGGUGGGGAAUAUUGCACAAUGGGCGCAAGCCUGAUGCAGCCAUGCCGCGUGGAUGAAGAAGGCCGUCGGGUUGUAAAGUACUUUCAGCGGGGAGGCGUUACCCGCAGAAGAAGCACCGGCUAACUCCGUGCCAGCCGCCGCGGUAAUUC